GCAGCUGCAGCCAGCUGUUCCUCGUUCUUGCGCUGCAGAGAAAUACUCAAAUUAGACACAUGAUCAUACUUCAGAUGUGUUGGUACGUAGCAUCUGCAGUCUGAACCGGCAUAUGCACAUAGGAUAUCACACGAGGAUACGAGAUCUUCGUUCUCCUUGCGCAGCGUUACCUCCUGCUCGACGCCGAUACAGGAAAAACGAACAACGGUGUAUGAAACUGAUAUUUUUGUGAUUUCAGGUUUCUGUAGCACAACAAGGUGGUGACGUUACUACCUUCUGUUUCAGCUUAGCGAGCUGCUCUUCAAAGAGCCGUGCCUGGAAUGCAAGAUAAGCAAGUACCGUUACAUUGUCGUCUCAGCCUCUGUGCAUAUGUGGAUUCAUUGUUGGCUAGAAUCGAAUGUAGAGUGGCGAAUAGCUAACCUUUAUAGCUCUGAUGCUAACAAGGCUUUUCUCAAUCUUGACCUCUAAGCUUUGCAGUUCUUCAAUAGCGCAUUCUUCCAAAUUACAACCCAGAAGUUUCCUGCAUCUCAACAGCACUAGAUGGUCACACACGGUUUUUCGCUAGUACACGCUACCGGUCUCCUGAAAACCGAAAUGGUUACCUUUUGUAAGCAUCAAGUGCUUCAAGCUUCUUUGACAAA